rnacentral:rRNA from 1 species
AACAAACGCUGGCGGCGUGCCUAAUACAUGCAAGUCGAACGCAGUAGCAAUACUGAGUGGCGCACGGGUGAGUAACACGUGGAUAAUCUCCCUUUGAGUGGGGAAUAACCUUUCGAAAGAAGGGCUAAUACCGCAUAAGACCACAGGAACAUAAGUUCAAGGGGUCAAAGGGGGCGUAAGCUCUCGCUUAAAGAUGAGUCCGCGCCCGAUUAGCUAGUUGGUAAGGUAAUGGCUUACCAAGGCAUUUAUCGGUAACUGGUCUGAGAGGAUGACCAGUCACACUGGAACUGAGACACGGUCCAGACUCCUACGGGAGGCAGCAGUAGGGAAUAUUGCGCAAUGGGCGAAAGCCUGACGCAGCGACGCCGCGUGAGUGAUGAAGGCCUUCGGGUCGUAAAGCUCUGUUGUACGGGAAGAAGUUUGCAGUGCUAAUACCAUUGCAAAUUGACGGUACCGUAUAAGAAGGGACCGGCUAACUUC